rnacentral:rRNA from 1 species
GGCGAACGCUGGCGGCGUGCUUAACACAUGCAAGUCGAGCGGUAAGGCCCUUUCGGGGGUACACGAGCGGCGAACGGGUGAGUAACACGUGGGUGACCUGCCCUCAGCUCUGGGAUAAGCCCGGGAAACUGGGUCUAAUACUGGAUAUGACUCCAUGACGCAUGUUGUGGGGUGGAAAGCCUUGUGCGGCUGGGGAUGGGCCCGCGGCCUAUCAGCUUGUUGGUGGGGUGAUGGCCUACCAAGGCGACGACGGGUAGCCGGCCUGAGAGGGCGACCGGCCACACUGGGACUGAGACACGGCCCAGACUCCUACGGGAGGCAGCAGUGGGGAAUCUUGCGCAAUGGGCGAAAGCCUGACGCAGCGACGCCGCGUGAGGGAUGACGGCCUCGG